UACGUAGGGUGCGAGCGUUGUCCGGAAUUAUUGGGCGUAAAGGGCUCGUAGGCGGUCUGUCACGUCGGGAGUGAAAACACGGGGCUUAACCCCGUGCCUGCUUCCGAUACGGGCAGACUAGAGGUAGGCAGGGGAGAACGGAAUUCCUGGUGUAGAGGUGAAAUUCGUAGAUAUUCGGAGGAACACCAGUGGCGAAGGCGACUCACUGGCCCGAUACUGACGCUGAGGCGCGAAAGCGUGGGGAGCAAACAGG
rnacentral:rRNA from 1 species